rnacentral:rRNA from 1 species
UCGAGCGGACAGAAGGGAGCUUGCUCCCGGAUGUUAGCGGCGGACGGGUGAGUAACACGUGGGUAACCUGCCUGUAAGACUGGGAUAACUCCGGGAAACCGGAGCUAAUACCGGAUAGUUCCUUGAACCGCAUGGUUCAAGGAUGAAAGACGGUUUCGGCUGUCACUUACAGAUGGACCCGCGGCGCAUUAGCUAGUUGGUGGGGUAAUGGCUCACCAAGGCGACGAUGCGUAGCCGACCUGAGAGGGUGAUCGGCCACACUGGGACUGAGACACGGCCCAGACUCCUACGGGAGGCAGCAGUAGGGAAUCUUCCGCAAUGGACGAAAGUCUGACGGAGCAACGCCGCGUGAGUGAUGAAGGUUUUCGGAUCGUAAAGCUCUGUUGUUAGGGAAGAACAAGUGCGAGAGUAACUGCUCGCACCUUGACGGUACCUAACCAGAAAGCCACGGCUAACUACGUGCCAGCAGCCGCGGUAAUACGUAGGUGGCAAGCGUUGUCCGGAAUUAUUGGGCGUAAAGGGCUCGCAGGCGGUUUCUUAAGUCUGAUGUGAAAGCCCCCGGCUCAACCGGGGAGGGUCAUUGGAAACUGGGAAACUUGAGUGCAGAAGAGGAGAGUGGAA